GACGAACGCUGGCGGCGUGCGUAAUACAUGCAAGUCGAACGCACGAAGUUGAAGAGCUUGCUCUUUAACCAAGUGAGUGGCGGACGGGUGAGUAACACGUGGGUAACCUGCCCAUUAGAGGGGGAUAACAUUCGGAAACGGAUGCUAAUACCGCAUAGUUUCAGGGAUCGCAUGAUUCUUGAAGGAAAGGUGGCUCCGGCUACCACUAAUGGAUGGACCCGCGGCGUAUUAGCUAGUUGGUGAGGUAAUGGCUCACCAAGGCAAUGAUACGUAGCCGACCUGAGAGGGUGAUCGGCCACACUGGGACUGAGACACGGCCCAGACUCCUACGGGAGGCAGCAGUAGUGAAUCUUCCGCAAUGGACGAAAGUCUGACGGAGCAACGCCGCGUGAGUGAAGAAGGUUUUCGGAUCGUAAAACUUUGUUGUUAAAGAAGAACAAGGAUGAGAGUAACUGCUCAUCCCCUGACGGUAUUUAACCAGAAAGCCACGGCUAACUACGUGCCAGCAGCCGCGGUAAUACGUAGGUGGCAAGCGUUGUCCGGAUUUAUUGGGCGUAAAGCGAGCGCAGGCGGUUCUUUAAGUCUGAUGUGAAAGCCCCCGGCUCAACCGGGGAGGGUCAUUGGAAACUGGAGAACUUGAGUGCAGAAGAGGAGAGUGGAAUUCCACGUGUAGCGGUGAAAUGCGUAGAUAUGUGGAGGAACACCAGUGGCGAAGGCGACUCUCUGGUCUGUAACUGACGCUGAGGCUCGAAAGCGUGGGGAGCAAACAGG
rnacentral:rRNA from 1 species